rnacentral:rRNA from 1 species
UCGCCUUGUUUUUUCAAAAACAUCGCCUCUUGAUUAAACAUAAGAGGUCCAGCCUGCCCAGUGACAUAGUUUAACGGCCGCGGUACCCUAACCGUGCGAAGGUAGCAUAAUCACUUGUUCUUUAAAUAGGGACUCGUAUCAACGGCAUCACGAGGGCUAUACUGUCUCCUUUCUCCAAUCAAUGAAACUGAUCUCCCCGUGAAGAAGCGGGGAUUAACCUAUAAGACGAGAAGACCCCAUGGAGCUUCAAACUCAACAUACACCUCUACGCACUUAAACCACUUUAGCCCAAGAGACCUCUAUGUUAGUUUUGGGUUGGGGGGACCGCGGAGUAAAAAUUAACCUCCACGACAAACGGGCUUUAUGCCCUUAUCCACGAACCACAGCUCUAAGAAUCAAUAAACUGAUGUUUAUGACCCGAUUAUUCGAUCAACGAACCAAGUUACCCUGGGGAUAACAGCGCAAUCUACUUCAAGAGCCCCUAUCGACAAGUAGGUUUACGACCUCGAUGUUGGAUCAGGGUAUCCUAGUGGUGCAGCCGCUACUAAUGGUUCGUUUGUUCAACGAUUAAAACCCUACGUGAUCUGUUCCAAAAACCGGAA